GGAAUGUUAAUUACGGACUUGCCAUUUUGUUCUGAUAUUCCCCCUUUUCUUCUUCCCUGGUUUUCACUUUUUCUAACUCGCCCAUUAGUUUUCUUCUCUCUCAUCAUUUUCUUUGUCCUCCUCUUCCUCGUCCUUCUCCAUUAAAGCAACUCCAGAGGUACGAUAGUUUUACUUUUACGCACCUUUCACUUUCUCUCUCCUCCCUCCAUUGAAGCCUACUUCGAGUUUUCCAUUGAAGCGGAUUCUAAGCUUUCUAUCCUCCAUUGAAGCUUCUUCUGAGUUGAACGCUUUGCCUUUGGUGAAGGUGUUAGUGAGCUGGGUGUAUCUGGUGUGAAGGAUCUCUUCUGUAUGUAGUUGUUCGUAAUAUUUAGAAAUGGAGAAUGCAGAUGAACUUGAAACUGCAAUUGCGAGAUAUAAAAACUUUCGUAAAGUUCAUAAACGUAUCACAGAUGUGCUGAAACUAGGAAUUUUGGGGAUUCAGGAAGAAAUUUUCCAGAAGAAGGCUAAGGUUGAUUUGGUGUUGAGAAAUGCUGCAAAAGGUGUGCAAAAUGCAAUUGAUCAAGCACCUAUUAUGUUGUACAACCGUGUUAGGUUCCUAAAUUGAGUGGAGCAAGUCACAAACAAAGGUAGUUCACAGUUUGAAAGAUUAGAAGAAGAUAAGAAGAAAGAGAAGGAGAAAAUGGAAUUGGUUCUGAUGAAGUAUAACAAGAAGGCAAUUUAUAGGUGUUAAUGAAUUAUUUUGGAAAAGUUGUAUGUACCGGUAGUGAACAACAUAGUAGGGAUUAAAAUUAUAGUUUUUAGGGAAGAGAUGUAUUAUGUAUUUUGAAUAUUAUAUAUAGGAAGCUAAGACUUAACUGUUUUAGUAAUGGUUUGGGGGCUUUGCAACAUGUUAGUUAGAUUUUAGUAGGAAGUUUAAUAGGUUGCAAUUUUUGUAAAAAAAUGGAAAUGAAUAUCUAAUUAUUCUCUUCCCCCCGAUUUUUGUAAUGUUUAUUGAAUGAUAAGUAUGAUAUGAAUAAAAUAGUUAUGAUUUGUCAAA